rnacentral:lncRNA from 1 species
GCUCUACUAGAUAUGAUUAGGAUUGGUUCAAAUUUGAUUUGAAUUUGAGUUCAAAGGAUCUUUGAUUUUGAAUCAAACUAAUCCAUCUCUAUCCUUAUCUAUCCUUGCCGCCAACUCUAUAAAAAGGGCUGAUUUUUGUGCGACAGAAAUCAGAUCAUCGAAAGAUCAUAGAGUGCGUGAGUUAGGGUUUCAUAAGGGGGCAUGAGGUAUUAGGGUGGGAAGCCCUAGUUGGUGUGUGAGAUUAGAGGAGAUCUUCCUCCUCUUGGGUGAGUGAAAACCUCGAUCUGAUCUAAGGUUUUGGGUGAAGGAAAAACAAAAGAGAGAAGAGAGUCUUCUUCCUUCCUUUCAUCAUCAGGUCCUCCUUGUCCAUCUUUGCAUUUCGGAGGAGUUCGUGAGAUCCGAAGAAGGACGUAAAUCAGCCAUCAGAAGAUUGUUGCACAAGCUAGCACUCUCGGGACGAUCGAUCAGUACAGAACUUCGAGUAGACCAACUGUAGAGGCUAGACAUCCUGUGCGACUGUGAGCAAUCAGCGAGACCUCAAGUCUUUGUGACACAGACGUGGUGAUCUGCUAUCCGC